UACGAAGGGAGCUAGCGUUGUUCGGAAUCACUGGGCGUAAAGCGCACGUAGGCGGAUUUGCCAGUCAGGGGUGAAAUCCCGGGGCUCAACCUCGGAACUGCCUUUGAUACAGCAAGUCUUGAGUUCGAGAGAGGUGGGUGGAAUUCCUAGUGUAGAGGUGAAAUUCGUAGAUAUUAGGAAGAACACCGGUGGCGAAGGCGGCCCACUGGCUCGACACUGACGCUGUGGUGCGAAAGCGUGGGGAGCAAACAGG
rnacentral:rRNA from 1 species